rnacentral:rRNA from 1 species
GUAGGUGGCAAGCGUUGUCCGGAAUUAUUGGGCGUAAAGCGCGCGCAGGCGGUUCUUUAAGUCUGAUGUGAAAGCCCACGGCUCAACCGUGGAGGGUCAUUGGAAACUGGAGAACUUGAGUACAGAAGAGGAAAGCGGAAUUCCACGUGUAGCGGUGAAAUGCGUAGAGAUGUGGAGGAACACCAGUGGCGAAGGCGGCUUUCUGGUCUGUAACUGACGCUGAGGCGCGAAAGCGUGGGGAGCAAACAGGGAUUAGAUACCCUGGUAGUCCACGCCGUAAACGAUGAGUGCUAAGCGUUAGGGGGUUUCCGCCCCCUUAGUGCUGCAGCUAACGCAUUAAGCACUCCGCCUGGGGAUACGGCCGCAAGGCUG